rnacentral:lncRNA from 10 species
AGUACAGCCCCAGCAUGAUGAGCGACGGCUGGAAGUUGAGGGCCAGGCCCAGGCCUGCGGGCGAGGCGGUGCUGUGCCGGGGUCCCCGGAGAGCCCCUCCCUGGCCCCCACAGGAGGGAGGGGCCAGGCCCGGGAACCCAGCAGAUCCGGGAACCCAGCCGAGGGACUUCGAAGACUGUCCCUCAUAGGGAAACCGAGGACAGAUCUUGCAGCAAGAACCCCCGACCCCCAACCCAGCGGAGAGGAGACCAGGGGGCCCUCACCUGUGAGCACCCCAGCGGUCAGGGCACCCCAUCCUGCGAACCCAAACCCCAAGCGGAGCGGGGGCUUCCGCACCCCUUUAACCUUCACAGCCUCCAAGUCCCGCCCUGGCACAGACUGGGAUUCCUCCGCAGCCCCGCCUCCCAGGAUGGGAACUCCAGCAAGCCCCCACCUACAGGGCGCUGAAGGACGAGGGGAGGACGACGGGUCCCACCUGACUCUGCACCUCUGCAGGCUCCCUCUGAAGGACAACUGCUGGCCCCUCAGGGCCUCAGGUGGAAGGCGUCGGGAAGUGGAGCAGGUCUCGGACCCCAAGCCAGUGCUUUGGAGCUGCUCAGGCUGCCGGGGUGGUCUGGGGAGGGCAGCCACCCCCCGUCUCAGGGACCCGCUUCUUGGAUCUGCUGCUGUUGCUGCUGUCGCUGCCAUUGCCAGCUCUGAACAGCCCCUGGGCAGGUGCACUGUGGGGGAUAGGGUCUCACAGUGUUGCUCAAGCUGAUGUUGAACUGUUGGAAUCAAGAGAUCCUCCUGCCCCAGUCUCCCUAGUAGCUGGGACUACAAGUGUGUGCUAUGUGAGUCAAGGAUGGAACGAUGGUCCCAGAACAUCCCAGGAGGGUGUGACAGCCUCCAUCUAGAAGGUUCUAUCCUCAGGUCCCCAAGGCAUCUGCAGCACACCGUCCUCUGCUGUGGGUCUGUGAAGCAGCCACUCCAGCAGCAGGUGUCCCUAUCGUUGGCGUUCUCAGUCAUCUCUCUCCCCACUGACCCCCUUCCGUUCCUGUCCCUGUGGUCACCCGCCCAG